UGGAACCAACAAAAGAUAUAGCUCUGAUGUUGUCAUCAUCACAAAUAGCAUUAACAACAUCACUGGUGCCAUGAACGAUGUUCAAGACACCAUUAGGCAGACCAGCUUCCAUGGCCAACUCUGCAAGCAUUAUAGAAGCCCCUGGAUCUUUCUCCGAGGGCUUUAAGACGAAUGUAUUACCACAUGUAACUGCAAGAGGGAA
rnacentral:misc_RNA from 1 species